rnacentral:SRP_RNA from 1 species
UCGUGCAGCCGGGGUGUUAGCGGUACCUUGUACCUGCAAUCCGCUAUAGCAGGGGUGAUAUUGCGCGGAGGGCGACAGUCUGCAGGGCUGCCCCCGGUAAGUGACGUUGAUGUCCGGGUCUCACGCGACGGGAACCUGUGAACCGUGUCAGG